rnacentral:rRNA from 1 species
UACGUAGGAGGCGAGCGUUGUCCGGAUUUACUGGGCGUAAAGAGCGCGCAGGCGGUCGUUCAAGUCGCGUGUGAAAGCCCCCGGCUCAACUGGGGAGGGUCACGCGAUACUGAUCGACUCGAAGGCAGGAGAGGGUAGUGGAAUUCCCGGUGUAGUGGUGAAAUGCGUAGAUAUCGGGAGGAACACCAGUGGCGAAGGCGACUACCUGGCCUGUUCUUGACGCUGAGGCGCGAAAGCUAGGGGAGCAAACGGG